rnacentral:rRNA from 1 species
CCUACGGGGGGCUGCAGUGAGGAAUAUUGGUCAAUGGACGAGAGUCUGAACCAGCCAAGUAGCGUGUAGGAUGACUGCCCUAUGGGUUGUAAACUUCUUUUAUAUGGGAAUAAAAUGUUCCACGUGUGGGAUUUUGUAUGUACCAUAUGAAUAAGGAUCGGCUAACUCCGUGCCAGCAGCCGCGGUAAUACGGAGGAUCCGAGCGUUAUCCGGAUUUAUUGGGUUUAAAGGGAGCGUAGGUGGAUUGUUAAGUCAGUUGUGAAAGUUUGCGGCUCAACCGUAAAAUUGCAGUUGAAACUGGCAGUCUUGAGUACAGUAGAGGUGGGCGGAAUUCGUGGUGUAGCGGUGAAAUGCUUAGAUAUCACGAAGAACUCCGAUUUCGAAGGCAGUUCACUGGACUGCAACUGACACUGAGGCUCGAAAGUGUGGGUAUCAAACAGGAUUAGAUACCCCUGUAGUC